rnacentral:rRNA from 1 species
AUACAUGCAAGUCGAACGAACUCUGGUAUUGAUUGGUGCUUGCAUCAUGAUUUACAUUUGAGUGAGUGGCGAACUGGUGAGUAACACGUGGGAAACCUGCCCAGAAGCGGGGGAUAACACCUGGAAACAGAUGCUAAUACCGCAUAACAACUUGGACCGCAUGGUCCGAGCUUGAAAGAUGGCUUCGGCUAUCACUUUUGGAUGGUCCCGCGGCGUAUUAGCUAGAUGGUGGGGUAACGGCUCACCAUGGCAAUGAUACGUAGCCGACCUGAGAGGGUAAUCGGCCACAUUGGGACUGAGACACGGCCCAAACUCCUACGGGAGGCAGCAGUAGGGAAUCUUCCACAAUGGACGAAAGUCUGAUGGAGCAACGCCGCGUGAGUGAAGAAGGGUUUCGGCUCGUAAAACUCUGUUGUUAAAGAAGAACAUAUCUGAGAGUAACUGUUCAGGUAUUGACGGUAUUUAACCAGAAAGCCACGGCUAACUACGUGCCAGCAGCCGCGGUAAUACGUAGGUGGCAAGCGUUGUCCGGAUUUAUUGGGCGUAAAGCGAGCGCAGGCGGUUUUUUAAGUCUGAUGUGAAAGCCUUCGGCUCAACCGAAGAAGUGCAUCGGAAACUGGGAAACUUGAGUGCAGAAGAGGACAGUGGAACUCCAUGUGUAGCGGUGAAAUGCGUAGAUAUAUGGAAGAACACCAGUGGCGAAGGCGGCUGUCUGGUCUGUAACUGACGCUGAGGCUCGAAAGUAUGGGUAGCAAACAGGAUUAGAUACCCUGGUAGUCCAUACCGUAAACGAUGAAUGCUAAGUGUUGGAGGGUUUCCGCCCUUCAGUGCUGCAGCUAACGCAUUAAGCAUUCCGCCUGGGGAGUACGGCCGCAAGGCUGAAACUCAAAGGAAUUGACGGGGGCCCGCACAAGCGGUGGAGCAUGUGGUUUAAUUCGAAGCUACGCGAAGAACCUUACCAGGUCUUGACAUACUAUGCAAAUCUAAGAGAUUAGACGUUCCCUUCGGGGACAUGGAUACAGGUGGUGCAUGGUUGUCGUCAGCUCGUGUCGUGAGAUGUUGGGUUAAGUCCCGCAACGAGCGCAACCCUUAUUAUCAGUUGCCAGCAUUAAGUUGGGCACUCUGGUGAGACUGCCGGUGACAAACCGGAGGAAGGUGGGGAUGACGUCAAAUCAUCAUGCCCCUUAUGACCUGGGCUACACACGUGCUACAAUGGAUGGUACAACGAGUUGCGAACUCGCGAGAGUAAGCUAAUCUCUUAAAGCCAUUCUCAGUUCGGAUUGUAGGCUGCAACUCGCCUACAUGAAGUCGGAAUCGCUAGUAAUCGCGGAUCAGCAUGCCGCGGUGAAUACGUUCCCGGGCCUUGUACACACCGCCCGUCACACCAUGAGA